AUUCAAUCGAGACCACGUCACAUUUUUCGAAGUUUAAUUGAUAAACUUGUUGCUGCGGCACAAUUACGGCAAGCUUAUUAAAUGCUGAGAAUGACGGGCUAGCGACAUUGACGGAUUGUGAAGUAGGCCGGCAGGAAAUGACAGCAUCGAGUAUUCUGUGCGGCUACUACAGAAUUGACUGCUUGAAGCGAGCUACGGUCUUCCACGAGUAUAGCUGAAUCCGAUAUCCAAUUUUCACGAUCAGGUGCCAUUGGACUUGAGUUGACCACUCCUUGACGACGAUCAGCCCCUAUUCUAACCAACCAGGGCCGUAACAGACGCCAGUCCCACCAGUCAGCGCUUCCGGCCACCGCACAUAUUCGUCUAUAUAAAAAAAAUCCAAGAUAAGUACUUUCGCGGUUGUUUGUCUUCCCGUCUAUCUUUGCGUGUGUGCAAAAGUGUACGUGUGCUUCUGUCGUGUUUCUUUUAUGCCAAUCCAUUGCGAAUGUGGGAGCUACGGCACCUGCUGGGGUAGCAAGCCGUGUUGAGAGGCAAACAGGGGCAUCAGCAAAGCCGACGCAAACGACUACGUUCAUUUUCUCUCAGGAACCCGGGAGCUGUUCCAGCGUUAUUUUGUUCGUUGGAGAAAGUAGUUGGAGUCGUACGUAAUCCCAGUCGCAGUAGGAAGGGCCUUCACGAGCAACAGGGCCACCAUCUGAAGUUGCGUGCACGUAGAAGAGAAGAUAGUGGCGACCGUUCGCAGUUCCUCAAAGGACACUGAAUGAAACGAAGCUCUUGAGUGGUUUUGCAACAAUGAAAAUUCAUUCUCCGACAGAAAUAAAUGUAACAACGG